CACGUAGGGCGCAAGCGUUGUCCGGAAUUAUUGGGCGUAAAGAGCGCGUAGGCGGUCCGGUAAGUCCGCUCUGAAAGUCCGGGGCUCAACCCCGGGAGGCGGGCGGAUACUGUCGGGCUAGAGUCCGGAAGAGGCGAGUGGAAUUCCUGGUGUAGCGGUGGAAUGCGCAGAUAUCAGGAGGAACACCGAUGGCGAAGGCAGUUCUCUGGGCCGUAACUGACGCUGAGGAGCGAAAGCGUGGGGAGCGAACAGG
rnacentral:rRNA from 1 species